GUUAGGAAUAUUGGACAAUGGGCGAAAGCCUGAUCCAGCCAUGCCGCGUGAACGAUGAAGGCCUUCGGGUUGUAAAGUUCUUUAGCCGAUGAUUAUAAUGACUGUAGUCGGAAAAUAAGCCCCGGCUAACUUCGUGCCAGCAGCCGCGGUAAUACGAAGGGGGCGAGCGUUAUUCGGAAUCACUGGGCGUAAAGCGUGCGUAGGCGGUUUUGUAAGUUAGGAGUGGAAGCCCAGGGCUCAACCUUGGAAUUGCUCUUAAAACUGCAAGGCUCGAAUCUCGGAGAGGAUAGCGGAAUUUCCAGUGUAGCAGUGAAAUGCGUAGAUAUUGGAAGGAACACCAGUGGCGUAAGCGGCUAUCUGGACGAGUAUUGACGCUGAGGCACGAAAGCGUGGGGAUCAAACAGGAUUAGAAACCCCGGUAGUCC
rnacentral:rRNA from 1 species